AUUCCACUUUCAAAUAACGGUGAAAGAACAUAUUCUCUGGAGGAAUAUCCAGGAGAAAAUCCCACAACUAACAAACAGAAUGUUCCCGAUGAGGGCCUUGUUGCAGAAGGACCAAGCGAUCAGUCAUCUUUAGAAUGUUUGAGAGGAAAGCAUCUUGUCAGUCCAAUAAGAGAGCACCUGCUUCAGGACAGACCCAACAGAGAUUCAUCAGAGCCUGCCGGAGAGGGAGUCUCCAGAAAGACCCACCCAGUGCUAGAAUUACCACCCUCCACCUACUCACACCGCACUUUUCAAUUUUGUGGGGAUCAACAAGAUAUGCAAAUCGGACCAGAAGCACAGGACAUGUUAGAGAAGCAACCAGGAUCCAAUGUGCCUGCUACUCCACCUCAUCAGCAAGAGACACCAAACCAACAGGCAGAGACAUUUUUGUUGGAUGGAGAUGAUCCAGCGUAUCCUGGAGCUCCACUAACAAAGGGACAAAGUUUAAUCUUACUGAUGUCUUAUGUACUAAGGCACAAUGUGACAGGUGUGGCACUUGAACAUCUACUGAAGAUUGUCAAUGAACAUUUCCCUGGAAUGGUACCAGUAACCACAUACCUUUUUCACAAAGCUUAUGGACAAUAUGGAAAUUAUGUCCCCCAUUUUUACUGUCCAGCAUGUGAAAACUACUUAGGGGUAAAUAAUACCAGUGAACUAAUGUGUGGUGCUUGUAAUGCAGUAACUGAUUCAGAGAGCUGUCUCAAAAGUGGGUGUUUCUUUCUAGUGCUUAGUUUGGCUUCACAAAUCAAAACAUUGCUUGAACAAAACCAAGGUUUAAAAAAAGACUGGCAAUGUGCAGAUGUCAUUUCAGAUAUACAGUGUGGAGAAGAGUACCAGAAACUCAAAGAAUCAGGUGAAUUAGGUGAGGAUGACAUAACUUUAAUUUGGAACUGUGAUGGAAUUCCAGUUUUCAGGAGUUCAAAGUAUCAAAUCUGGCCCAUUCAGUGCCAGGUUAUAGAACUCGAACCUAAAGAACGCAAGGCAAAUAUCUGUCUUCCUUGUCUCUGGUUUGGCGAGAAGAAGCAAAACUUCUUAACAUUUUUGAAGCCAUUUGUUAAAGUGUGUAUUGUAAGUUAAUGUUUUUAAAAAUAUUUAUACAUAACAUUCUCUGAAAAUUGCUCUUUGAAAUUAAAAUGCAGGAUUUUAUCAGUUUAAAAAAGUAUAUCGGCAAAAAAUCCAGUUUUAAAGUGACUAUUUUGAGCAAGGCUUCAAAAACCGUUGUUUUUUUAUGUGAUACGUCAAACGCGUCAUAUUACGUAGGAAUUGGUAGACGCGAGCUGUGUUCGAAAUCGUUCCCUAUCAUGGAUGUAGUGCACUAAAUAGGGUGCACGCCAUUUUCUAGGGUGUUCGAAUUCUCAGUGGUCCACUAUAUAGGGCACUAUAUAGUGGACUUAAAAUAGGGUACAUACGAUGUUCCCUACAUGUUACUCCCGUAUACCACAAUGCAAUGCGGUUGUAUUUUUCCAGGGGAGAAGAAGAAGCCGAAUAACCGCGAAAACGAAUACAUUUAAUGAUGGAGUCUCCGGCUUUCGUUUAGAAAUGUCAACGAUUUAUUUGGGAUUUAACAUAGAAUAUUUAACAUUCAAAAUUAAUUAAACAAGGAAAUGUAACAUUCAACAUCAAUACAACCUCCAGCUUUCGUCGUGAGUGCCCGGUUUGUUUACUUGAUGUGGGCGCAUCUGUCUGCGUCACACAAAUACCCGGCGCAUUUACUGACGCAAAUGACGUUUAGAAAUGUUCAGCGUAGUGUCCGAAUUCUCGCUCCCUAUUCCCUAUAUAGUGCACUAUAUCAUGUACACUAUAUAGGGAAUAGGGAACGAGUGUAUAGGGAACGAUUUCGAACACAGCUGCGGUCGCUGUUGCUGCCUCAGCUCUAUGCAUAGUUGUGAGUAGUUACCGCGGUGAGGGGUCUUGUAUUCCCCCCCCCUGUGGUUUUUGGGUUUUUCUAAUCGACGAGAUGAGGUUUUGUAUCUGUGGGGGUUGUUCCAACUCCGACCUCCUGUCCGACCAUCUCCGAUUUCACAGUUUCCCCGAUCGGAGAAAGGAUGGAGCAGGCUUUCGAGCCUGCAAACCCUCACGUUAGUUGUACUCACUCGUUCUCCAGUAGGGGCGUACACACGACCUCUUUGACGCCAGGGUUGUUGGCCUUUUCACUGGAGCAGCCCUGAAGGUCCCAGGUGGCCAGGCGCACCGCGUGGCCACAAAGAGUUGGGCCGCAGGGACACCAUCUGCGUCGGUCCUCCCGGCGGGAGGUCGAGGUCGUCGCUCCGGAGGCUGAACGAGGUUGGGCUCGGAUGGGACCGACCCGUGUAGGUCAGCCCGCCGUUGGUAUUGGUGGACGGAGUUCUUGAGCGCUCCACAAACACCUGGAAACGGAUCUUGUCCAGUAGGGAGCAGUUUAUGUGAUCGACCCGAACCAGGUCCUCGAUGCUCUUGAACGGACCGUGUUUGGUCCGAUAGGCGACAAUGUUCCGGGCGAUUUUCUCCGUGAUGCCGCGGAUGCUCAUGAGCCGCGGCGGGGUGGCGGUGUUGAUGUUCAUGCCGCUGCAGGAGGACAUGCUCCGGGUCUCUCCGCAGGGAGGACGGGGAGUGCUGCGACGAACUGGUCCUACUCGACACGCAGAUCUCCCCUUUAAUAAUCUCCAGUUUGGUGGCGCCUAUCCCACUCACCAGAAAUUGUACGGAAGUGGUCCGAAACUGUUAUCCAUUGUUGUUAUGUUGCCUAUGUAGUCUAUGAUGAUUAGAACGUCCGUCUACCAAUUCCUACAUCACGCUCGAAAACGAGCGUUUGAGAUGCGGAAGUAAAAUUGUAUCACAAAAACGGCUCAAGAUGCCACUUGUAGUGUAGAUUUAUUAAUAAAAACUAAAUAAUCGUGUAUUCGAAUUUUUUUCCUAUAUGAUUCUUCACUGCAGUAUCUAACUUCCAAUACGCACUUUAAUGAACUGCAAAUUUUAGAACAAAAUGGCAUUAAAUGGAAGGACUCAGCAAAUGUACAACAUGUAUCCAAAGUGUAUGCUCUGAUAUGCAGUUCAGAUUCAAUUGCUCGACCACUUCUAAGAAACACCAAACAGUUUAAUGGCUUUUAUGGAUGUGAUUUUUGUUACCAUGUUGGUGGUGGUCCUUACACAAACAAAGGCCCAAAACCACAUCUUAGAACUGAAGAUAAGCAUUUUGAUCACGCAAUGGCUGCAACACCAGACAGUCCUGUAAUGGGAGUGAAAGGACCUUCACCAUUAAUGAAACUCUCAAAGUUUCAAAUGAUAAAUGGAUUUGUUCCAGAGUAUCAGCAUUGUGUCUGCCUUGGUGUGACAAGACAAUUAGCAAAACUGUGGUUUGACUCAAAAAAUCAUAACAAAGAGUGGUACUUAGGAGCAAAAUCAGACCGCAUUGACAAAGAGCUCAUUGCAAUUCAACCCCCUGUUGAGAUAACAAGAGUACCACGAUCUGUGGCAGACAGAAAAAAUUGGAAAGCGUCAGAGUGGAGGUCAUUCCUGUUAUUCUAUGCCCUGCCUUUACUGAAUGGGGUCUUACUAAAGAAGUUCUGGAACCACCUUUUUCUGUUUGUGUUCGCAAUGCACAUUCUUUUGGGAGAAAUGGUGAAACGCUGUGAUAUUGAAGUAGCUGAAAGAGCUCUCAAGAAGUUCUCACUGCAGUUUGAGAAGUUAUAUGGUGCCUCAAAUAUGACAUUUAAUGUUGAUCUUCUGACACACCUUGCGGCAAGUGUUAGGAACUGGGGCCCUUUGUGGGCCACAUCAACCUUUUCCUUCUAAUCAUUUAAUGGCACUUUGUUACAGUACUUCAAUGGGACAACACAUGUUCCAGAGCAAAUAGUUAAAAGAUUUCUUUGCUGGAGGAGUCUAACACGAUAAAGCCGAAAAGUACAUGGUAGAUGCUAAUGAAGGGGUGAAAUGCAUUUUUUCACAUCUCCUAAACAGCAAUGUAUCAAGUUCUAAUUCAUCUAGCCUGGAUAAAAAUGUCAGGGUUUUUGGUAAUCCCUGUCAUCACAAACUGUCAGCAUUAGAAAAACUUGCUAUCAAAGACUUGCUAAGUGUUACAGUCGAACACUGUGUUUGUUAUCACCGUUUCAUUGUAAAAGGCAUACUGUAUCAUUCCAGCAGUAACAGAAGUCUAAAAAAAUGGAUCAACUCAACAGUGGAGUUACAGGAUCAAAGAUUAUGUAGAAUUCUUUGCAUGUCAGUAUUCAGAGCAGGCGAUUUGUCAUUGCACUGUAUAUUGGUAAAGGAGCUUGUGAAGACUGAUGGACAGCUCUGCAAGGAUAGUCAACUGAACAUUGCUUCCAGUUUUAUGUCUGAGGUGUCAGAAUCUAGGAAUGUUUAUGCGGUGCCCACUGACCUGUUCCACAGGAAAUGUGUUUUGAUCCAAUCAAGAGACAAACAAUAUGUUAUUCCUCUACCAAAUAAUGUAGAGAGAGAUUAAAUAGUUACUGGGGAAGUUUGAGAAAAAAUGCUGAAACCACUGCCAAAUUGUAAGAAAUAGGGACUACAUUCUUGGUGUGCCUUAAAACUAGUGGACGAUGUCCAAAAAUGGCAAAUUCAGAGUAUUAAAUCUGUAAAAAUUAUAAGGCACACACAAAGACUGUGCUGUUAAACAGUUAUACUAUAACAGUUGUGGUAUAACAAAAUACAAACAAAAUUGUGGCCUAAAAAUGUUGAACUUUAACAGACUGUUUCCAUGCAAAAUCAAAGACUUUCAAAAGGUUAAUUUUUCUGUCAAGCAGCAAAGCAAAUUUCCUGUUAUCUGCACAUCUUAAUAUGUUCAUAAGUCUAAUAUGUUUUCUGAUUGCUGUCAAAUGUAAGUGAAACAAUCCAAGCUUUGGAAAAAGUACUUUCCAUGUGAUGAUAAGAAAUACACAAGGUUGUACUGUUUUUUUGUUAGAAAUACUGGUGAGUCUUGACUACUGCAUUAAAUAAAAGCAC
ensembl:lncRNA